rnacentral:lncRNA from 10 species
CCGCGGGGCAGGGGGCGCGGGGUGCCUCCUCGGCCUCGGCUCUCCCCGCCCCGGGGCGCCCCGAGACCGCCGCCUGCCUCCGCGGGCAGCUUUGUUCUUCUUUCCUCCAACUACCUGUCUGAGCCGCGGGCCCCAGAGGCCCCAAAGAGAGGCCCGGAGGGUCUCCCCAGCAGCAUCCGAGGGGCGCUCUCGGGGAGCUAGGGGCCAGAGUCCGCGGUCCCUCCGUGCCUGCCUCCCUCCCCUCGUGCCUCGGUCUUUUGUUGCCUCUACUCCUCGGCACGGCGCAGCCUGGGCUCUCUUCCCCCUCCCGCUUGGGAGUUUGCAGUGUGGACGCUCGGCAAGCACAAUAACAGCACUAUGGGAAGGAGGAAGAAUUUAAUGAAAGCUUGUACCUGCUGGCUGAAACUAAGCAGCCUAUUUAUAAACUGCUCUGAAAUGCCAGGGAGCAGGUAACUCCCAAAUGAAAAAGCAAGCAGGUCUCUCCCACCAUCAGUGGGAUGGCUGAGCUGUCUGUGGUGCCUUUGCAUCUUGCUGCUUCGCUGACCCUGAAGGUCUGCCCCAGCCUCAGGCGACCAAGCCUACAGCGACCUCAAGGAGCAGCUGCCUCAUCAGUGCUUGUAGGAGGCUCAGGACGGAGAGGGGUCUGAUGCCCCCAUUUUGUUCCCUUCUUUUGUCUUCUUUUGACUUCCCUAGGGAAGGGAAAAUGUGCUAUGAAGUUAAAAGAGGAAUGAAGGAAAAAGAGAGAAUGGAGGGUCUUCUAAAAUGUGUUUAUUUCUCAAAAGCCACAUAGUGCUUCACAAAUUCACAUUAAUCUAACACUUUUGCACUGUCCCCUCCCUCACUCCAGCCCCAACCAUGGGGCGAAGCCCAGCAGUGUGGGAAUGUACUCGCAAACCCCACACAGACCCGUGGCCACGUGUGGAUGCACUCAACAGGAGCCAGCUAUAUUUCAGUUCUUGCUACUUGUAUCUGUCUUUAGCAUCCUCCUACAACGAGCAACACAGAUAAAUAAAUCCCCAAACCUCACCUUGGCACUGGUUCCAGCUCCUCCCCUCUCCACCUUUAGCAGCCAUUAUCAUAAAUCACAUUCUUUGAUAUAUCUUUCUCAAUGUCUCCCUCGCUCAGAUUGCCUUUUAGUAAAAGUUCAUAAAACAAAACAGAAUUUACUAAAAAUAGGUUAGUGGAAAGGUGAGCAAUACAACUUCUGAAAAAAAAAUUAAACCAGUGUAUGAUUUGGGGAUUUAGUGAAGUGAACUGAUAAACUGGGACAUUCAAAUCUAUUAUGCCAAUAUUUUCUCUGGCAAGAGAUUGCUUGCUGUCUUUGCAUGUAGUUUCAUUUCAGGACUUAAUUCCCUGUUUAAAAAAAAAAACUGGAAGAAAAUUUUGCAUUAGUUGUAUUUUACUUAGAUCCAGAGACGAAGCUCUGCUAAUGCAUAUUACAAUAUAUAAUUAAGCAUAAAUACAUUAAAAUAUUAAAACACUGUAAGUUAUUAGAAAUAAUGAAAUUUCUUGCAUAAAGUCAUUGCAUGAAUUACUUAGGUGCUUGUCAGAUCCCUAAUCAGAAAGAGCUGCCAGAGAUGGCAGAGACUUCACUUGCCAAGACAACGUAGUCCAUCAGCAAAUCAGUGGACUUGGGAAGGAGGUGGUUUUCCAUUUAAGCUGCAGCAUCACAGAAAGUUACCCUCUAAAGUCAUUCUUAGAUGAAUACUUCUAUGUCAUACACAGCUAAAUUCCAACAGUCAAAACAAUUAUUCUAAGCUAAUUAAAAUACAAAUAAAAUUUUAGGCUAUGGGAUAACAGAUCAUGAGAUAAAAACAAUUCUACGAUUGUUGGAGGGGCCCUGUAUGAUAUAUUCAGAUCUUGCUCAUCUCUUCCAAAUCUUUGUUUUUUUAAAUAGAAAAUGUAAAUUAUAUUUAGCUUAAGUCUAUGUUUGAAUUUAAAUCACUAAAAAAAUCUACUUUCUAUAAAGCAUUUGGAGCAAUCUUGCAUAUAAUACUCAUUUGCUUAGCUAACUCUUUUUUUCUGUAGAUAAGUAAGGUAAAUGUUAGGCCACUAGACAAAAUUAUCAUACAUCUUCAAUCAUCAAUGUCCAGAGUAAUGAGUCAAUAUAUGUAUGUACGUAUGUAUAUGCAUUUAAAAAAAUCACUCUUUUGACACAUUUCACUUUUCUUUGUAAGUAAUAUAGGUGGGCUAGAUCAGGGGUUGUCAAGUCAGAUUAGAAUCAUCUGAGGAGAUGUGGGCAUCUGGCGAUGCCCAUACCAAUUAAAAGAGUUUCUAGGGGUGUGGAUGGAAAGUGGGAACUGGUAGUUUUACAAGGUCCCUGUCACCAGGGUUGAGACACCAUAGCUUAGAGUCCUGUAACUUGUCCUUACCACCAGUUCAUUCUCUUCUCUCCUUCUGUGAGGAGCGCUUCUAUACUAAGACCCUGAAGGUAACUAGAAAGAGACAAACUCCACCAAGUCAUCCAGUGGUGCACCUUUGAGGACUUCCACUACUCGCCUAGGUUCUAUGAGGCCAGUAUGGAGACAGAGAGGUGGGGGCCUGUGGGGAACUGGAGGCUACAGGCCCCACUUCUAGGAGAUCUCCCAGCUCCAGCCCACUGUGCCAUCAGGAAUGUGGGCCCAUGGCUGCCUGGCUUUCAAGAGAAGCUAGAAAUCUGCUUUCUAUGUGAAAACCUCUUGAUUUUUAAAUGCUUGCAAUGAAUUAAAAAUUUAUCAAAACUGUGUUGUCCAAACAAUCAUGUAUGUGACCAAACAUGGCCUACAAAAUGCUAAUUUACUACCUCUGAACUAGCACAAUAUCCUGAAAAAAGGCAUAAAUAAAAAAAUAUUGGCAGAAUGCAGCAUGAGCAGUAUGUGGAAAGUUUUAUUUUUUAAACCAUAUAGAUAAAUCUGUAUUUGCUUACUUAUAAUUUAGUUGUGCUCUCCAGAACCUAAUGGCAUAACAUUAACAGGCCUUUAAAAGCAGUGUGCUAAAUGAAGGACAGUUUAAAUCCACAGAUGUAAAACCAUUGUAGAGCAAACAUGCAAACAAAAACUGAUCAAUCAACCAACCCACCCACCCA